AAUAUUGGACAAUGGGCGCAAGCCUGAUCCAGCCAUGCCGCGUGAGUGAUGAAGGCCCNAGGGUUNUNAAGCUCUUUUGUCCGGGNCGAUAAUGACGGUACCGGAAGAAUAAGCCCCUGCUAACUUUGUGCCAGCAGCCGCGGUAAUACGAAGGGGGCUAGCGUUUCACGGAAUCACUGGGCGUAAAGGGCGCGUAGGUGGACGUUUAAGUCAGAGGUGACAACCCGGGGCUCAACCUCGGAAUUGCCUUUGAUACUGGAUGUCUCGAGACCGGAAGAGGUAAGUGGAACUGCGAGUGUAGAGGUGAAAUUCGUAGAUAUUCGCAAGAACACCAGUGGCGAAGGCGGCUUACUGGUCCGGUUCUGACGCUGAGGAGCGAAAGCGUGGGGAGCAAACAGG
rnacentral:rRNA from 1 species